UCUCUCUCUCUCUCUCUCUCCGUCUUCGGGUCACGAGAAGGCGAAAAAUUCUGGCCUUCUAUCUCCUUCUACUACUACUCUAGCUCGAUCAUAAAGUAGAAACAUGCCGACCAGGGACAUGAGCUCAAGAAAAGGCACUCGUUUUUUUUUUUUUUUGCUCCUUUUCCCUCUCUUUUGUCAUCGGUUCAAGCGGAAAUGCCGAACUUUCUUGAUUCUCCACGAUCCAAAAUCUCUUUUUUCAAGGUUCUGGUGACCAAUUUGCGUUAUUUCUUUCCGUAACUCAAACUUUUAGGGUUCUAAAAAGCAAUUCGGAUCGGAACACAUGAAACCGAGGUACACUGUUCCAUUUCUCCAACUUUCAAUUCCUUUAAGGGUUUUGCGGCAUUUGUUCGGGCUUCGGAGAGAGAAUUCGGAUUACUGGAUCUCUCUUUGUCUCGAUUCAAUUCCCUUAUGGCGGGAGAGGGAUGGAGACCAGGAGCAACGUUUAGGGCUUUGUGGAGCUGGGGUUCGGGUUAGGGUUUUU
rnacentral:lncRNA from 1 species